rnacentral:rRNA from 1 species
CCUUUGUACACACCGCCCGUCGCUACUACCGAUUGAACGGCUCAGUGAGGCCUCCGGACUGGCUUCAGGAGGUCGGCAACGACCACCAGAUGCCGGAAAGUUGGUCAAACUUGGUCGUUUAGAGG